AACGGUCUAUACCUGCGGUACCUGCGGAGGGAUCAUUAUUGAAUGGUCUCCGGGACCUUCUACCCCCUCAAAUCUGUGGAAGUGAGAAACCGUGCUUCGGCGUCCGUAGGACGUCGGUUUUAUGCUGGGAUAAGUCUUGUGGUCUGAAUCAAAAAGUUGUGAAAAUCAAAACUUUUAACAACGGAUCUCU
rnacentral:misc_RNA from 1 species